AUGGACGCCAAGCUGAUGGUGGCCACGGACCCUGGCGAUGUCAAGAAGUUGAAGGAUGUCCUCAACAAGGAGGAUGCUGUGGCGAUGGUCGUCGUGACGGCGAGGAGCAAGAAGCCUUCCGAGGAGGACCGACUCCUUGCUGCGGGAGUUGGCAGGGCCCACGGAAGAGUUGCUGCUCGUGAUGUGGAAGAGGGCGGCGACCACCAGCCUGCUGCUUCGCUUGCAGAUGGAGCACUCCUCAAGGGCGUCACUCCUGAUGGGGAUACGGCACUACAUGCCGUGGCCAGCAAUGGAGAUGGGCAGGAUUUCUUGAAGUAUGCCGGCAUCAUCUAUGAUCGGGACAGGGGCCUCCUGUUUGCGAAGAAUCACAAGGGUGACACACCCUUGCAUUAUGCUGCUCGAGCUGGGAGAUCCGAAAUGGUUUCUCAUCUCAUUGAUCUAGCUGAAAGUGAGGGUCCCGACACGAAGCUCAGGCUCUUGAGGAUGGAAAAUGAGCUUCACGAGACAGCCCUGCACGAGGCUGUUCGGGUUGAAGACGGUAGAAUUCUGGAUCAGAAGCACAGACGCGCAUUUGUUAAUGCCGCUGAUCCCGCCGGAGAAGAAAAGAACAAAGAUGAUGCUGACGGCGCACCAGCAGAAGAGAAAAAUAUAGUUAAGCUGCUGAUUGGUGCUGAUCCUGAAUUGGCUAAUUAUCCUGCAGUUGGCAUUUCACCCUUGUACCUAGCCAUCAUGCUGGAGAAGAGUACAAUUGCACUGACCCUAUAUGAUAUGAGUGGUGGCAAUCUCUCAUAUUCCGGAGCACAUGGACGAAAUGCCUUGCAUCUUGCUAUUCUUCGAGACACAGUGAUGGUAGAGCUUCUAGUGCAGUGGAACAAAAGCCUUACUACACAAGUGGACAAAGAUAGGAGUACGCCGCUUCACUUUGCUUCAUCACUCUUACUUUCUACUGACUCGUAUCUGCGUUUUGAGCUCCUCCACAGACCCCCUUGGUGUCGUUUUGUAUGGAUUAACAGGGGAUCCAACAAGACACUCGAUACAGUAUUCAAAGCGAACCCUGCAGCACUAUAUCAAGCAGACAAGGAUGGAUAUUUUCCAAUACAUUUGGCUGCCUCUAUGAGUGCCAAAGAUGUCAUACAGUUUUUCCAUAAAGAGUAUCCAGAUAGCGUCAGAUUGCGUGACGCUAAAGGAAAAACAUUCCUUCAUGUUGCUGUCAAGAAGAGAAGACUGAGCAUAGUCUCCUAUGUAUGUCGAACACCAUCUUUAGCUUGGAUUAUAAAUAUGCAAGACAAUGAUGGAAAUACUGCACUGCACUUAGCUAGUCAGACUCAGAAUUUCAGGAUGUUCUGUGCUCUAUUUGGGAAUCUGGAGGUGAAUUUGAAUCUAAUAAAUAACCGCGGGAAAACCCCUCUUGAUGUAUCUAGAAGUAAGAUUCCACACAGAAUGACUUAUACACAGAACUUAGAGAAUAAAAUAUACUACACAUUGCAAUCAGUUGGGGCGUACCACAGUGCCCUUCCCUGGGACAAGACUGAGGAAACGUACAGUCAGCAUGAAAAGCCAGAAGACGAGGACAAAGAAUCAGGGAGGCUGAAAGAUGCAGCGCAAGCGCUUAUCGUUGCUUCAGUUCUAAUAGCAACCGUGGCAUUCAGUGCAACAUUUACUCUUCCUGGAGGUUAUAGAGCCGAUGAUCAUACAAAUGGAGGCGUGCCAACACUUGCUGGAAAUUAUGUUUUUGACGUGUUCGUGAUGGCCACCACAUUAGCUUUCAUCUCCUCCUCAAUAGCUACUGUUGGCUUUGCGUUUGCGGCAAAUCCCAUGGUUAACAUGAUAAGCCGCAAAGACACCUUUGUCUUAUCCAUGCUUUCCAUGUUGAGUUCAGUCACAUCUAUGUCUAUAGCUUUUGCACUUGGGGUGUAUAUGGUGCUAGCUCCGGUUGCUCAUAAUACUGCCAUUGCGGUUUGUGUUAUCACUCCUGCCAUAUUGCUAAGUGCAAAUAUGAAUGCUAUUUCAAAAAUGAUUAGUCUUGCACGGCCGUUAUGUAUUAGGAAAGGGCUAUUCCUAGGAACGGUACAAGUACUUAAGUCGUACAUGCUCAGAGUGGUCUUUGUGCUCUGGCCAUUCAUGGUUACCUUUGGUUGGGCCGCGUUGGCAAGGAUCCACCAGAACACCUAA
rnacentral:rRNA from 1 species